GACGAACGCUGGCGGCGUGCCUAAUACAUGCAAGUCGAACGCAGUGGGGACGGGUGAGUAACACGUGGGUAACCUCCCAUCAGAGGGGAUAACCCUUGGAAACAGGUGCUAAACCGAUACUGCUGGAUGGACUCGCGGUGCAUUAGCUCGUUGGUGAGGUAACGGCUCACCAAGUCCACGAUGCAUAGCGGAACGGAGAAGUGGAUCGGCCACCAGUGGACUGGGACACGGCCCAGACUCCUACGGAAGGCAGCAGUAGGUAAUCUUCGGCAAUGGAAGAAAGUCUGACCGAGCAACGCCGCGUGAGUGAAGAAGGUUUUCGGGUCGAAAAACUCUUUGGUUAGUGAAGCGGUAUCUAACCAGAAAGCCACGGCUAACGACGUGCGAGCAGCCGCGGUAAUA
rnacentral:rRNA from 1 species